ensembl:lincRNA 3300005D01Rik RIKEN cDNA 3300005D01 gene
GCUGAUCGUGGGUAGGUCGAGCAGAGAUCGUUCGUUCUCUACUUGGCGUGCUGGUGUUGUGGCUCUAAAGAACUGCCUAGGUAUGGGAUCCAGCUUUGUGUCACAGAGGAAAUGGAUUCCAGCUUCCUGGCUUGACACUGAGGGCUGGACCCUAGGCCCAGAAGAAAUCCAGAGCUGGAUUAGAAGUCUAGCUGGUAGCUGGUCGCCUAUACUGCACUUGGAUGAGGGCGAAAGGCAGCAGGAGAGGCACUCAGUGCCCCAUUCCCAGACGAGGAGGGCUUCUCUCAGCCCUCUCCUCGCUGUCUCUCAGCCUGGCCACACAAACCUAUUGGAGGCUACAAGUCUGAGUACAGAUGUUGACGGAAGUUGACCUUCGACCAAAACCUGUGCAUUCAGAAAGUACCGACCACAGCUUCCUCCCUGCAGAUGACUGUAGCCUGACACUGCUCCCUCACAGAGACCACCUAUGGAGAUAAGCUGAGCCAUCUCUUCAUCCGUGCUGUAUAUCAUAAACACAUUGAGCU